rnacentral:rRNA from 1 species
GACGAACGCUGGCGGCGUGCUUAACACAUGCAAGUCGAACGGAAAGGCCUGCUUUCCCUUGUGGAUUGCGGGUACUCGAGUGGCGAACGGGUGAGUAACACGUGAGUGAUCUGCCCCCAACUUGGGUAUAAGCCUGGGAAACUGGGUCUAAUUCCCGAUAGGACUGCAGGGUGGUGCCUGUGGUGGAAAACGAUUUUCUAGUGGUUGGGGAUGAGCUCGCGGCCUAUCAGCUUGUUGGUGGGGUAAUGGCCUACCAAGGCGGCGACGGGUAGCCGGCCUGAGAGGGUGGACGGCCACAUUGGGACUGAGCUACGGCCCAGACUCCUACGGGAGGCAGCAGUGGGGAAUAUUGCACAAUGGGCGGAAGCCUGAUGCAGCGACGCCGCGUGGGGGAUGACGGCCUUCGGGUUGUAAACUCCUUUCGACCGCGAGGAAGCCACCUGGUUGGAAGGGUGGUGACGGUAGUGGUAGAAGAAGCACCGGCUAACUACGUG